rnacentral:rRNA from 1 species
CAAUAGCGUAUAUUAAAGUUGUUGCAGUUAAAAAGCUCGUAGUUGAAUUUUUGCUUGCCGCCGAUGUCGGAACUUCCGUACGUUCGGCGGCGUGCAUCCUUGGGUGGAACCUGUGUGGCAUUAGGUUGUCGUGCAGGGGAUGCUCAUCGUUUACUGUGAAAAAAUUAGAGUGUUCAAAGCAGGCUUACGCCGUUGAAUAUAUUAGCAUGGAAUAAUAAGAUAGGACCUUGGUACUAUUUUGUUGGUUUGCGCACCGAGGUAAUGAUUAACAGGGACAGUUGGGGGUAUUCGUAUUCCAUUGUCAGAGGUGAAAUUCUUGGAUUUCUGGAAGACGAACUACUGCGAAAGCAUUUACCAAGGAUGUUUCCAUUAA